CGCCACAGUCGAAUUUAGCUAUCAUAUGUAUGUAGCAAAAUAUCAUAAUUUAUUUGUACUGAUAGUAUCAUCCAUUUGUUGACUUUUUUUUGAAUUUCGUUUUCUUUUGUAGUUUAUCUUCAGCAAAACGAUAUAUAAUCCGACGAUACCAUUUGAAUACCUUGGUCGCCUUUAUCCGGGCCAAGUAUUUUCUAUCAGUGGUAUUCCAUUCCAAAAUGCAAAGAGAUUUAGUGUGGAUGUAAAAAAUGAAAAAACAAUUGCAUUCCACUUUGACGUACGCAUUGAUUAUGGGGUUGGAAAUGAGUUAGUUAGGAAUUCAUGUACAUCUAGUGGUUGGGGUGUCGAGGAGAGGCAUUUGAAUGGACCAUAUCCUUUCAUACGAGACAAUUUCUUU